UUUCUCUUAAAGGAACUUUCAAAUUUCGUAGACUCGUCAUCAUGUGUAUAAAAGAAUUUUCAAAUUUCAUAGAUUCGCCAUCAUGUGUUUAUAUAAAUCAUUAGAUAAACGAGACAGGUGUACGUUUUAGUCUAAUUAAAUAGUUCAUGCCGGUUGAGGUUAUGUUCAAAUAACGUAAGAAAUCUCGAGAAAGCUGAAUGAAAGCGAUCAAAUUAUGUUUUCCAAUCGUAAAUUACAAUCGAGAGGUAUACUUAAACGAUGAAAAGAACGUAUUAAUUUGAAGAACUUUCGAAAUUAUUAUUGAUUAAUAUUAUACACGUAAUAUUGGAUAUAUCUUAUGAGUCUAGACUCAGUAAGAAACGAUAUAAAAAGAAAGUGGACAAGAAUACAGCUUACCUGACAUUGUUUCUCCGUCGGGCUUAUGGCUCGUUCGAUCUCCACUCGUGACUUGGUAAAUGUUGUUGAAAGUUUCUUUCGUAUUUCAGAAAAAUGUCCGAACUGGCACAGUUUUUCCGCACGAGCACAAAGCCGACUCGACCCUAUACACGCCAUAGCGAAAACUGUAGUGAGUCGAGCCAGCCAACUUGUGAAGACUUUCGACCUAGACUAAUCCCCACCGAUAUUUCUCAAAGAUGUGACCCUCUCCCCCACUCUAUCCCCACUUCUUUGCUCACCUUUCGUUUUCCCAAUAUGUUAUCUCUUUAAAUGUACACUCCCAAAGAGUGCGUUCCUUCUCCAUGCAAGAGAGUUUUUGAUAUUUAGCGUAUCGUUCAGUGACGUUGCCGCGUCUUACUAAUAUUAUCGUAGUGAUACGAUCAUAAAUCGUAAGAAAUGCAUGAUCGUAAAAACGCGUAUUCUCAUUUUUGGCAAGACAACAAAUUAAGCGAUCUGCUUUUGGUGAUCCUUCCAGGCACAUUACAUUAUCAUCUGCAAAGGAUAGUAUUUGUCAUUGUCUCUGAAUUGUUAAAAUUUGUAGAUUACAAUUUGAAAAAUAUAAAUCCUUUACCUUCAA